rnacentral:misc_RNA from 1 species
GUGUGGUUUGAUGAUAGAACAGCAAAUGCAAUUUGUAUGGCAUGUUUUCAUUCAUCAUCCAGGAUCAUGAUUGCUGCUCUAUCAUUUCUUCUGAAUUAUGAGAAGAUUGANNNNNNNNNNNNNUGCUUCCAGCAGUGAAGAUGACUCAAAUCCUCAAAUGUCUCAAGUUGUCCUUAGUAAAGAGGCUAUUUAUAAGGCACAUCAUAAAGGCACAGUAUCCAGUAAAAAGAAAAAGAAAGCAAAACUGCAGCGUGCCAUGCGCAGCAUGAAAAGGCAGCAACGCCUGUCGGCAGAAAACAGUGGUUCAAGUUAUUAUUCACCACUUAAUCAUCUUAAAGAUGCACAGGGAUUUGCUGAGAGGUUAUUCUCUCGCCUCCAGACUUGCAAUGAACGUUUUGNNNNNNNNNNAUGUUGAAACUAAUUGCUCGAACUGUUGGACUUCACCGAUUGAUGUUGUUAAAUUUUUAUCCUUUUCUUCAGAAAUAUGUUCAGCCACAUCAACGUGAUAUCACAAAUUUACUUNNNNUCAGGCAUGCCACAAUAUGGUGCCUCCAGAUGCAGUUGAACCAUUAUUCAAACAAAUCGUGAAUCAAUUUGUGCAUGACCGUUCACGUCCAGAGGCUAUUGCUGUUGGGC